rnacentral:tRNA from 1 species
GUAGCUCAGUGAGAAGAGCCUCUGCUUUGCAUGCAGAAGGUCCCAGGUUCAAUUCCAGCAACG